rnacentral:rRNA from 1 species
CGACCGGCGCACGGGUGAGUAACACGUAUGCAACCUGGCCGUGACAGAUGGAUAACCGGGAGAAAUCCCGCCUAAUACAACAUAAUGCCGGGAGGGGACAUCCCCUGCCGGUCAAAGGGGGCGACCCCGGUCAUGGAUGGGCAUGCGGCGCAUUAGGUAGUUGGUGGGGCAACGGCCCACCAAGCCGACGAUGCGUAGGGGUUCUGAGAGGAAGGUCCCCCACAUUGGUACUGAGACACGGACCAGACUCCUACGGAAGGCAGCAG